CACUGUUUUCAGUCUUGGCAUUCAGGGUGCACACUGGUUUAUUUUAUAAAUGCUUACUGGAUUAAGGUGUAAAUCAUGUUUCAGACCUCUUUUUACUAUGCUGGAUGUUUUUGCAACACAGAUUGUGAAGAUCUUUUCAGCUUUCUGGACUACUUUAGUCUGUGGAUACUUUACUAUUGUCAGUGUUGAUUUGAAUGCUGGCUGAAAGAUGCACCUUUACGUGCUUUCUCUUUGUCUGCUAGCAGGUUGUCUGCUUUAGUUUGUUUUACCUGUAAUUAUAAUAUGUCAGAUUUAUAGCUCAUCAUCGGAUCAGCUGGAGCCCCUGUGAAUAAGUGAGAUUCUACACUCAGUGUAACUUUACGCAGCUGAAUGGUUUUGUUCAUGUACCACUUUUUGUGGUUGUGCCUUUUAUUUUUAAAAAUAAAAUUACUCACUUUUGUAUAUUUAAAUCUGACAGUUAUGUUUGUAUUAUAUCUAUAGGGCAAACAUGAUAUAAUUCAGCACAUGUAUCUAGGUUGUUAUAUGGUAAAAGUUGGGCCAUUAUUAAUGUGGAGGUUUGGUUAAACAGGCAUUUGAGGAGACUCAAAUUCCACUGGUGGAGAGGAAGUUGGCACGUAUGCUAACUGACAAUCGUAACUUGCUUUCAAAGGUUUUACACAGCAAACCACAGUGGUGCCAUUGUGUAAAAGUGCUUAAUGUGAAUAUUUACAAUGAGAUUCCUUUUUGCAAUCCCAGUUAGGACUCCCUUUUCCAUUCUUCCUUUAUUUGUGAAGUAUUUGUAGAACAUCCUAUACUGGCAUUUCUUCUCAACGUUCAUUACAUCAAUCCUUUCAUUGACAUAUAUGAGUCAGAGAGCUGCUAAGACAGUGUUGGGGGUAAGGCAGGAAAGUCAUUCUGCAGCAGAUUCUCCUUGAAAUGCUUCUAAUGUGCACCUGCUCCACUCUAACCAGUUUUGGUUUUGACAAUUGAGGUGACUGUUUUUAAAAAUAAUCAAAUUGGGCAGCCAUUCCCAGGCUUAAAAUGUGGAUAAUCACCUGCAAUUCUAAUUACCAUUCUGAGUGGCCAUUUCAUUUUCUGAUCAUAACUUGUAGGCAUUCAGUUUUAAGCAUCCUUGGGGAGCCUGAGAGAGACCUAUUUAAAUUUAUUGCAGGGGGCUGUAUUCUAAAAAUGAGAUUUUUGAUGGCUAUGACAAGCAUUCCAUGAUCCACACUUAUGAAAUUCUAAGCCAAUUAGUAAAUGCUAAAAAAUGUGGUAACAUCAACCUUGUAUCUAUAUUUCAGAAGUAGAAUGAGUUAAGUUGCAUGAAGUACUAUGUACUCCAGUACCAAUAAAGUGGCGUUAAAAAAUCGUCAGCAAGUAUAUAACUUAGUAAAAGAUAAUAUAUUGUGUGUUUACAUAGCUACUCAGUCGUGAGGUACCGACCCUGCAUAUUUACCCUAAGACGCAUCUUAAAUGUUGCUUAAUUUUUCAGUGUCUGAUUGUCCUUAAUUACUACGUGGCCAGAAAGUGAAGGUUCUUUCAACUAUCACUCUCUAAAGAAAUGGACACCAGAAAAAAGCCUAGUUUUGAGAUGACUAGUUUUGACUAAAAUCACUUCUCAAGCUUCUGGGUAUUUAUAAAAUACUGUUGAGUGUUUUUAUCAAAAUCCCAGAGGCUCUGUCUGCCAUAAAUAAAAUCUCUGGGAAAACGCAUAAUUCUCAUACAUUUAACUGAUUGGAUUCUACUCUGUCAAGAAGGGAAGUGAGUUAGAGUCUAAGAUCCCUUCUGAAAAUGCCUGCUGCCAGCCAUUAUCCAAGAAGCUGUAAACUCCAUUAUCUCUGAUGAUCAUGACCUUUGUAGUCACCUGGGGAGUGAUGCUGUCUCUAAGGUUGCCAGGAUCCAAAGGACUUAGGGCUUUUAGGUCACAAUCAAAACAUAAACUUUACCAAGAAACAAUCUGGUGAUCAGCACAGAUCACACAGCACAGGUUAUUAUUCUCCCAGCUAGAAGUGCCACUGAAGUGGGCUGCAGCAUCCUACAUCAUUUUAAGAUUAAGCGUAAGCCCAUGUAGAGCACCCUACGGUCAUCCUAAAUGGAGGUUAAGGCAUACACUUUGAAAAGUCCUCAUCUGAAAGACUGAGAACAUAACCUUCUUGUCAGAGAUGAAAAUACUCUACCAUUAGUCACAAAAAGAAAAGGAUCACUGCCUGUCAUAAUCCUUUUCCUCACCUCUAUCUACAACAUGUAGAGAUACAUUGCAGCACCAUUUUGAAAUAAAACAAAAUAUGAAAGUCAAAGUGCUAAACUAAAACUCGUCUCUUGCUCCAAGUUUUGAAAUGACCUUGUAGACAUUUAUCAUUUUUUAGUGUUAGUCUUUGUUCACUGGUGGUCGCUGAAAUCGGAUCUAUCAAAAGAGAGAGAAGUAUGUGGGGAUUGAGGGAAUGAAGAGAUGGUAGGAUUUUCAAAAGCUCUAGUCUGAAAUAGCCUCAUAUGCAAGUUAGAGUUUAAACAAGAUAGAGCUUAAAUAUAUGCUUAUAGAGCUGAGGAGAAUGCUACCCAAAAACUCCAUCUAAUAUCUAUAUGCUGUACUUGAGUCUUUAGUGUGAUCAUGAGCUGGCAUAAGUAAAUGUGCAAUCUGACUUUUGUCAAUGGUGGCUGAGAAAAAAAUGAGAAUCGUACAUUAAUUUUUUUUUACACAUAUUACGUAGUGCCCAGAGGCCCCAUUGUGCUGUAUGCUGUACAGAUGAAAAGAGAAGACCCAAAGAGCCUGCAAGUUAGGUCUUCUACCACUAUCAGAAGGAAUCCUUCUACAGCAAGACAAAGCAUUCUUCAUUCAUAUAGCGCUUCCUUAUUUUAUACUAUUAAAUAAUGGUUUCUGGUUACACAUAGUCACCCCAAACUCAAGUAUCUGAAUUCCUGCCUUGAGUCAUAUUACUUAUUUCAGGCAGAUGUCUUUUAUUUGUGACCAGCCAUGACAUCCAUGAACAAUUCAGUUAAUCCAAAGCAGAUAUUUCCCUAUGUAAUAAUAUGGAAAGAUUAUAGUGUAUAGCCAAUGCCAUAGUUCACAAUCUUCCAAAAUCUAUUCAUUCAGUAUGUUGUUUCCAGUAAACUUUUAUUUAUUUAAAUCCUAUAAUUUAAAGUGCUCAGUUAGGUGAGACUUUUUAUUGUGUCUACAGAUAUCAGAGUAAGGUUUUGAAAUGUUUGUUUUUCAGUUUCAAAAUGGGUGAGGUAAUAUCUUUUAGUGGACCAACUUCUCUUGGUAAGAGAGACAAACUUUCGAGCCAAACAGCGCUCUUCUUCAGACUCAAAAACUUGCCUCUCAAAUCAACAGAAGUUGAUGCAAUAAAAGAUAUUACCUCACCCACCUCGUAUCUCUAAUAUCCUGGGACCGACAUGGUUACAACUACACUGUUUUUCAGUGUCUGCACUUUGAAAUUCUGCUAAAUCACUUAGAUUGAGUGAGCUACCCACAUUAAACAUAACCCAUGUUCUGAUUAGUUCACAGGUACAGCUUUAAAAUUCUACUGUUCUGCAGGAAGAAAUCCUUUAAUUUAAAAAAAAACAAAAAAAACAACCCAGCAACAAAAAAAAAACAGGAUCUCAUUAUGUUUCACUGAAUAACCUUGCAAGACAGGAGGAGAUUCUAAAGGUCCAGGGUUCUGGGUGUAGGGUAUUUUGACUCUUAAUCUUCCCCUGAAUAGCUUUCUGGAACAAUUUUCAAUGCCCUCACUUCUGGAAGUGCUGCCUCUGAAAUUUGUACUCUUAAAAGCAAUGCAUUGAUUUACCCUGAAUGUAGAAACAAUAGCGCCCUUCCAGGAAGUACCCCUUCUAGGAGCAGCAAUUCCAGGAGAAAGAUCACUGCAACUGUUUUUUUUCUCCGAGCUGAUUCACAUAAGGGUAGGUUUGCAGGAUACCUGCAGUCUGUUUAUACUGCAUCUGGCUCAUCUCUGUUGCACAUAGUGAUCUUAUUUAAGUUUCAUUCCAUUCCUAUUUGUAAAGGCUGCUAUAAAAUCUUUUAAAUAAGGGGUUAGAAAAAAUAUGCUGAUACACAUAUAAUUGUUUUUGCUGUUUUAAAAACUAAGUUUGAAAAGCUAUUGAUUUUUUUUUCAAUAAUCAUUCAUAAAGAGUCCACAUUUUUUUGGAAUUCUGUGCACUAUUGAUGCUGACUCUUUUGAUGGUUAAUCAGCAUUUCAAAUGUAUUAUACCUGGGAAAUUUUUAUCCCACUGAAUAGCUGUUAAAGGCAUUUUCCAACAGGACACUUGCGUAAUGUGCCCAAAUUACUGAAAGUUGCAUUAUAAACUAGAAAUGCCACACCUCCCCAAUUAUAGCACUUAUCCAGAAUAGCAGUGUGUGAAGUGAAACUUUCAGUUCUGCUUCCAAACCGUUUUCAUUGCCAGAGACAGAGAUUUUAAAAAACAUGGAAUCUGAUUGGCGUGCUCUGGAAAAGCAAACAGUGGAUGCAAUAGACUUCUGACAUUAUAAUAGCAUGUAAAUUUGUAAUAGUCACAUUUGAAAAAAGUUUUUUUAUAUUGUACAACUAGUAGUCAAUUAGGAACUACAAAGAACUAAAAACUAAAAAGUGUUGCCUUUCACUCUAGUGAAACAAAGUGUUGAACAUUGUAAUUACCAAUUCAAUACCAAAACAUUCUUUGUAGAACCUAUCCAAGAAGAAGGGGGGGAAGCACAGAAACUUUUAAUAUACAAUGAGUUAUUUGCUACCACUUCUGCUUGCAUCAAACAGAACCAUGGUAUUUUCCUUCACAAGGGAGGUCACUAAAUGUUUUGUAUAUUACUGCCUAUUACAUAUAUUUCAGUCACUGGGAGAGGACAGUGGUUAUUUAUCUACUUUUCUGUGAAUAAAUUAAGCUUUUUCCAGCUCUUAAUGCUACUAGACACACUGAUAGCGAAUGUUAUAUUCCAUAGACUUUUAAGGUUAUAGCAAUCUUUAAGUCCUCGUGUAGAAAAUUAUGGGGUUAAAUCAGCGGUGGGCAAACUUUUGGGCCCAAGGGCUUCAUCUGGGUGUGGAAAUUGUAUGGUGAGCCAUGAAUGCUCAUG